UACGUAGGGUGCGAGCGUUGCCCCGGAUUUAUUGGGCGUAAAGGGCGCGCAGGCGGCUACGCACGUCCGUUGUGAAAUCGCUCGGCUCAACUGGGCGGGGGUCAGCGGAUACGGCGUAGCUGGAGCAAGCUAGGGGGCAAUGGAAUUCCCGGUGUAGUGGUGGAAUGCGUAGAUAUCGGGAGGAACACCAGUGGCGAAGGCGACUACCUGGCCUGUUCUUGACGCUGAGGCGCGAAAGCUAGGGGAGCAAACGGGG
rnacentral:rRNA from 1 species